rnacentral:lncRNA from 1 species
UGCAGGUUAUACGAUGCAUUAUAUUUUUGAAAAAGACCAGUAAGGUAAAUCAAUUGAAAAUUUCAUUACUGUAGUGUAUUGUCAAUUUGACUUCUAUAUAUUUGCAGAAAAAAAUUCUUAAAAAUUAAUUUUCAUAAAUUUCCUCGAUGUAUGUUAAAAUAUGAUAUAUACGAACUCUUGACUUUUUAUUUAUUUUAUAAUUUUUGUUCAGUAAUUAAUAAAGUUUCUUAUUAGGUCUCUAUGUUAAUUUUAUUUUUUACAGUAUUGAUUACAUGAUGCAGUAAGUUUAAGUAGUGUCGGCGUUAUGCAUUUGCGCCGAUUUUUUUUUCUGUCAUUUAAGGCAAUUUUCUGUUUUAUCUGCGCCGAUUUUUUUCUACAGCUAAAUUACUAGUGAAUGUAAUUUUUCAUUUAUCAUCAGAUACCUCUUCUGUUAGCCAGUUGUGCAAAUGUUAUUAUAAUUAAUCAAUUGAGAUAGCAUAACAUACUUGAUUUUCCUCCACCAGUAAUGAGCCAGAUGAAAACGACAACAAUCUAUUCUACAUCGUGGAAAGCAUCCAUAAUUGCGUUAUGCAUUGCGUGUUCAAAGUCAAUAGGGAGGUUUGGGAUCUCAUAAACAUUUUAACCCCGCCGUAUUUCUGCCCCUAUCCCAAGUCAGGAGCAUCUGGCCUUUGUUAGUAUUGUAUUAUUUUUAAUUUUAGUUUCUUGUGAACAAUUUGGAGUUUAGUAUGGCGUUCAUUAUCACUGAACAAGUAUAUAUAUUUGUUUAGGAGCCAGCGGAAGGACGCCUCCGGGUGCGGACGUUUCUCGCUGCAUUGAAGACCUGUUGGUGACCUUCUGCUGUUUUCUGUCCAAUGCAUGGUCGGGUUGUUGUCUCCUUCACACAUUCCCCCUUUCCAUUCUUAAUUUAAAAACCUCGGCCACAAAAGAAAGUUUUUUUUUACGGCGGAGAUCGAAAAUUAUUUUCCGCAUAAUUCAGAACAUUAUUCUUCUUUUGCUGAUAAGAGGGCAUAAAUUAGAGGUACGUAGUUUCUAUUUUUACAUCCGUGUUAAGUAUAUAACUGAUAAAAGUAUUUCGGACAGCACUUAAAAGUUCCAUCUAUAAAUAUUGCUAACAUAUCAUUGCAAAAACAUUCAAGAUUAAGGUGUGUAGAAAAAAAUAAGUAUGACUUUCUCGCGAUCAUCUGCAGUGACCUUCCGAUAUGUAUAGCAAGUAUCUACUCACCUAUGUUAAACUCUAUAUUAAUGCAAUUAGGAGCAAAUAUAAAAUCGGCGAAAAUGAAAAAAAAAUGAAAAUUUAAAUAAACGGCGCAAAUGUCAUACCCCUAGAGACCUACUGGUAAACUUUUUUAAUUAUUGACUAAAAAGUAUGAAAUUAAUAGUUAGACUACGUAUAUAUCAUAUACUAACAUACAUCCAGGACAAAUAUUUUAAUUUGAAAAAAAUAAUAUUUAAGACUUUUUGUUUGCAAAUACAUAGAAGUCAAAUGCAUAAUAGGAAAAACUCAAAUUACAUGUGGAAAUAUAUUUAAGGAGUCACAUUUGUGAAUGAGCAGUAACGAGUUUGAGUUGCCUUCCCUUCUACUAUUCAUAAAUGUAUAAAAAUUAACAGAUCCUAGAGCUCACAAGGGUCCACAUAUACCUUUUCACGUGCGUGGUUUUCAAGAUUAGCAUCGUGACGAGGGCAGCUGCAAGAAGUCAUAGCAUUGAUAAAGGGAUACGUAAACUUAUAGAAUAGGUAGCUGAAAAUAGAUUUUCAUUGUAAUAUGAAAAAAAUUAAACAGCACAUAAAAGCUAAAGUAACACGCGAUAUAUGAUACUUGUUAGUUUGCUAUUAAACAUACAACAUAGUUCCGUUUGAAAAGUUGUCAAAGGUACCAGGAUUAUAAUUUAGUACGCCAGACGAACGUUUCGUCUAUGUAAGACUCAUCAGUGACGCUUAUAUCAAAAUAUUUAUAAAGAUGAACUUUAAAAGUUUGGUAACUUAUAUUUUUUUGAUAAAUAUCAUUUACUGAAAGUAGACAAGGUAAGGCAUACCUUGGACUUUUAUCAUUGAAAAUUAGAUAUAAAUUUAAAGAACAUGAUAUUCAGAUAUAUAAACCAACAUCUUUGGAUUUAAUGAAUUCGUGAAAAUAACAGACUCUUAAUGAUUUGUGGAAUGAUACCGACAAAGAUAACAAUAAACGAACAUAAAUUAGAUUUGGGUUAUGUUACUGUAGAUAUAAUUGAUUGACAAUAUUCAGACACUAGAAAGCAUGGUUAUCUUCUAAGGAAGUGCAGUUUAAAUAUUUUAAAAAAGUUGUCUCUGUUAUUCGGCUUUUGCAUCAUUCGGUAGAAUUCAUUUUUUCACCAUCAAGGUUUUAUAAAUUGUGUUUGACCCCUUUUCCCUGUCCUUAGCAUCCAUAUUUUCUGAAGCAUAAUAUCAUCGUUAAGAACUUAAGAUCUAAAAUACACCAUCCCAUAAAAUGAAGUAUACAAUAGACAAUAUCCUGUAAAUAAAACAAUGAUAGAAUAUCCCUAUCUUGCCUUAAACAAGUCAAAUAACCUCAUGCAACGCAGAAUCAUUUUUAAUUAUCGACUUAUUAUAACAUAUUAAAACGUACCUAGGAUAAUUUGGACUUUCUUAUUAAAAGAUAUUUUCGCCGUCCGCCUCUUGACCAUCAAAUCAUUGCAUAUCACGAUUAUAUCAUUUGCUGUAAAAUUCUAAUAAAUAUGAUACAAACAUUAAAGGAGAAAAUUGAUAUUCGUUGGUACAUGUACACAUAACAAAAAAUCUCACGAAUGCAAGGAAUUUAACAAAACAACUUUUAGCCAGAAAAAAAGCGAAAGAGAUAAUCAUUUUAAAGAAUAAUUGAAAUCAUAGAUGUAUAAAAAAAAGAUAUAGCAAAAAUACCGAUUUCAAAAAUAAAUUAAAAAAAGGGGAAGUGUACAAAAAUCAAACUUGUCAAUCAACGAAAUAAAGGCAACAGUAGUAUACCGCUGUUCGAAAUUCAUAAAUCGAUAGAGAACAAAUCCGAGUUACAAACCAAAACCGAGGGAAACGCAUCAAAUAUAAAUAAGAGAACUACGACACAACAGAAACACAACAUUAAAAUGUAACACACAGAAACGAACUAUAAUAUAACAAUGGCGAAACCCACUAUAUAAACCCUACUAUGUUUAAACCAAGACAGUACGAUUUAUGUUUGAUUUUGUUAAAUUGGUUUUGGUUUUUAAUAUUAAAUAUUAUACUAUCUCUUUCACUUUCUCUCAAUUACAAAGAUGUGUGGAAUGAUACCGACAAAGAUAACAAUAAACGAACAUAAAUUAGAUUUGGUUUACUAAUAUGAUAUGCCUUUUAUUUCUCUCCCAGAUGGCUGGGAGUAAAAUAUUGCUCCUUUUGACAGUAAUGGUAUUAAUUAUGAUGGUGCCAAGCUCUUCAUCCCAAUCUGGAAUAGCAGGUGAAACAGGGAAAGACAACAGCAGUAAGUUAAAUAGUCUAUGUAUUAUAGAAACAACGAAUGAGCGUCGAUUCUUGAAAAUUAAAACAUACUAACCCUUUCUCGUUCAAUGCAAACUCAGAUUUUUUUCUUUUAAUUUGCAUAGUAAAUGGCUUUCCAUGCAUUAUUAAAUCCUUAUACAUGAAUUACGUUUUUGGUAGAUUUAUUAUGAAAGUGGACUCUUUAUAACCACACUAAUGAAGUAAACAGUGCUCUGAGGCAUUUUCCAUAAGAAAACAGUGUACUGAUUAAAGAUCGAGAAUAGAAAAAAAAAAUAACAUUUCAAAUCUUUUAAAUGAUGCAUACAUGUAUAUGGAAGAACGGCAAAAAAAUAUGAAAGGGCCAAUGCUGCGACACAAUGUGGACAUCCUGUGCAUCCGUUGACUCGGAAAUGGCAUGAGGAAAUUUGCUAGUUUUUACCUUGUUUGACUGCAUUCACCAAACUAUUGCUCCUUUUUCCUUUUUUUGUAGUGUUUGAAGUGGAUUCUGACGGAUGUUGUUGCCCUUGUCAGAGUGGGUGUACCUGCUGCUGUGCUAAAUGAACUUAAACAGUAUUAUUCUCUCAAAAUGAAAUAAAUAAAAAUUAUAUAAAUUAUAUAAAUUAUUUACCUGUACUUCUACUCUUAUUUCUGUCUAUUUGUACGUGUUUUCUAAAUUAUGAUAUAUGAAUUGUAGUAUGAUGUCAAUUAUUGAUAGGUAUUACGGGCAUAUUUUACAGAUGAAAUGGCGCUUUGACAUAUUGAUAAUAGGGCUAGCAGUGGGAUUGAAAAUGCACUUUGAAAUGUUGACUAAGUUUUGAAUUGAUUGAUUUUAUAAAUUGUAACCUAUGAAAAGAGAAAAAUAGAUUAUAGUUUCAUAUUGUUUAUUUUAUGUGAGAAUGAAAAUUAAAUUAAAAGAUAACCUGCAUAAUGCAAUUUAUUCUUAUUGUCAUUGUUGAAGCCGCGAAGACUAUGAUUAUCCUUCGAAACGUUAUGUUAAAGCAAGA